CUCGGUGGGCGGGGCGGGGCGGAGCCGCGCCGCCAUUGGCUGUUCAGAGAGAGGGGGCGGGCCCUUGAGGCCGGGAUUACGGGGGCGCGCGCGGAGCAGGCGCUCGAGGGGACCCUGAGGGAGUGCUGCGAGGGCGACCACGGGCGGGCCAGCGUUCGAGAAAGGCGUGCGACUGGUUGGUUGGUCAGAAAGGAGGCCGGACCUAGAAAGAGACCUCGGAGACCAGGGGGUUCACAGCUGGAGAAUUUAACUCAGGAUGCAUCUCAUCCUUAUAUCUGAUUUGAGUGAAACCUAAGGUUGAGCAAAUGGCUACACUUAUGACUGAGACUGAUCCAAGGCACAAUUUGUUUGCCUUUAAAAAUUUUGUUUUCUAUGACUGCAAGAAAUACUGCUGAACAAGACAUUUCUUCACCAUCCUUGAUGAAAGAUGAACAUUAAUAAUGCAGUUAAAAAUCAGGCCAAGUAAUUUUGAAGAGAAAACAAGGUCCAGAAGCCCUAAUUCCUUUUAGAAUAGAUUUAAAAUGGCAAGCUCAAUAGUUCUACCACAGCAGAGAACAAGAAGUGUCAUUUACAGGACAUAUAUUAACUUCGUAGAACUAUGUCAAAAGAUACUGCCGUUGAAAGCAAGUAACUUGCUCUCCUAGACUACUAUGGAAUAAGUACCCCUGAACCCAAGAGUAAGUAAUUUCAGCAUUUACUCAAAUUGAAGUUGAA